rnacentral:rRNA from 1 species
UACCAGCACCCCGAGUGGUCGGGACGAUUAUUGGGCCUAAAGCAUCCGUAGCCGGCCUUACAAGUCCUCCGUUAAAUCCAACUGCUUAACAGGUGGGCUGCGGAAGAUACUAUAGAGCUAGGAGGCGGGAGAGGCAAGCGGUACUCGAUGGGUAGGGGUAAAAUCCGUUGAUCCAUUGAAGACCACCAGUGGCGAAGGCGGCUUGCCAGAACGCGCUCGACGGUGGGGGAUGAAAGCUGGGGGGAGCAAACCGG